CCUACGGGUGGCAGCAGUGGGGAAUAUUGCACAAUGGGGGAAACCCUGAUGCAGCGACGCCGCGUGAGUGAAGAAGUAUUUCGGUAUGUAAAGCUCUAUCAGCAGGGAAGAAAAUGCUGGUACCUGAUUAAGAAGCCCCGGCUAACUACGUGCCAGCAGCCGCGGUAAUACGUAAGGGGCCAGCGUUAUACGGAUUUACUGGGUGGAAAGGGAGAGUCGAUGGCAGCAAAAGUGUGGGGGGAAAUGCCGGGGGUUAACACCCGAACUGCUUUGGAAACUGUGCAGCUAGAGUGCAGGAGAGGUAAGUGGAAUGCGUAGUGUAGCGGUGAAAUGCGUAGAUAUUAGGAGGAACACCAGUGGCGAAGGCGGCUUACUGGACUGUAACUGACGUUGAGGCUCGAAAGCGUGGGGAGCGAACAGGAUUAGAUACCCCGGUAGUC
rnacentral:rRNA from 1 species